AGUGAACGCUGGCGGCGUGCCUAAUACAUGCAAGUCGAACGAACGAAUAAGAGCUUGCUCUUAUAAGUUAGUGGCGCACGGGUGAGUAAUAUAUAGCUAAUCUGCCUCUUAGUAGAGGAUAACAGUCGGAAACGAUUGCUAAUACUCUAUACUUCUGCUUUACAUAAGUAAAGUAGAGAAAGUUUUUCGCUUAGAGAUGAGGCUAUACUGUAUCAGCUAGUUGGUAAGGUAACGGCUUACCAAGGCUAUGACGCAUAACUGGUCUGAGAGGAUGAUCAGUCACAUUGGAACUGAGACACGGUCCAAACUCCUACGGGAGGCAGCAGUAGGGAAUAUUGCGCAAUGGGGGAAACCCUGACGCAGCAACGCCGCGUGGAGGAUGACACUUUUCGGAGCGUAAACUCCUUUUAUCGGGAAAGAAUAAUGACGGUACCCGAUGAAUAAGCACCGGCUAACUCCGUG
rnacentral:rRNA from 1 species